rnacentral:rRNA from 1 species
UGGGGAAUUUUGGACAAUGGGGGAAACCCUGAUCCAGCCAUCCCGCGUGUGCGAUGAAGGCCUUCGGGUUGUAAAGCACUUUUGUCAGGAAAGAAACGUCAUGGGUUAAUACCCCGUGAAACUGACGGUACCUGCAGAAUAAGCACCGGCUAACUACGUGCCAGCAGCCGCGGUAAUUCGUAGGGUGCAAGCGUUAAUCGGAAUUACUGGGCGUAAAGCGAGCGCAGGCGGUUCGGAAAGAAAGAUGUGAAAUCCCAGAGCUCAACUUUGGAACUGCAUUUUUAACUACCGGGCUAAUGUGUGUCAGAGGGAGGUGGAAUUCCGCGUGUAGCAGUGAAAUGCGUAGAUAUGCGGAGGAACACCGAUGGCGAAGGCAGCCUCCUGGGAUAACACUGACGCUAAUGCACGAAAGCGUGGGGAGCAAACAGG